UACGUACGAGGCGAGCGUUAUCCGGAAUUAUUGGGCGUAAAGCGCGCGCGGGCGGAUGCUUAAGUUGGGCGUGAAAUCUCCCGGCCUAACUGGGAGGGGUCGCCCAAGACUGGGCGUCUUGAGGACAGCAGAGGUGGGUGGAAUUCCUGGUGUAGUGGUGAAAUGCGUAGAGAUCAGGAGGAACACCGGUGGCGAAGGCGGCCCACUGGGCUGUCACUGACGCUGAGGCGCGAAAGCUCGGGGAGCGAACGGG
rnacentral:rRNA from 1 species